UACGAAGGGGCCUAGCGUUGUUCGGAAUUACUGGGCAUAAAGCGCGCGCAGGCGGAGAGGUAAGUGUCCUGUGAAAUCCCCCGGCUUAACCGGGGAACUGCGGGGCAAACUGCCUUUCUUGAGGCAAGCAGGGGUGUGUGGAACUCUGGGUGGAGCGGUGAAAUGCGUAGAUAUCCAGAGGAACGCCGGCGGUGAAAACGACACACUGGGCUUGUUCUGACGCUGAGGCGCGAAAGCGCGGGGAG
rnacentral:rRNA from 1 species